GCUCGGUUUGGCUGUGGGAGGACGUGAAUGGGACAUGAAUACUGGUGAAAAAGUUUGCAGGGUGAUAGAUUAUGGCAGGAGGAUGAUUUGGCAGCGGUCGAGUGUGCACCCACGACUACUGCGGUGAAUAACAAUGUCCAACUAUGCGGGGAACGGAGCAGACAAACGGAGAAAAGACACAGAUGCCUUGAAGUUGAAUAAAAGUGCAGUCGGAUGACAGCAAGGAUCUACACCUAAACAAUGCCGAACUGCGCCAGGUCGCUGAGCUCCAUGUCUCCGAAGGCCUCCCAGGGACAGACCACGUUGGCAUCUACAGGAGACGAGAGCGGCAGGUUAAAUGAUGUGGUAACAACAUACACUCUGAGCCAAAACAUCAAGAAAAAAAGAACAUUGGAAGAGUUUAAAGCUUAUAUACCUCCAAGGCCAUCCAUACCGGGUACAUCACUGCCGAAGCUGUAGUGAAUACAGUCAAUAUCAUGUUUUGUCCACAUGUGAAAAACAGCAUUAUUUACAGGCUAGUUUGAUUUAACAGUGUUUCCAUAAUUGAAUGUGUCUCACCCCUUCUGUCCAGCUUUGGGAGCUUUGCUCUUGAACUGGCGGGUCUCCUUCUGUUUGAAUUUGGGAGGAGCCGCCUUGGUGCCCUCUGCUGCUGCUGCUGCUGCGUUCAUCUCUACAGAAAGAGAGUCUGUCAGUCACCCAACUGGGAACUUCCCACUUGGUAAGUUGAAACUUUCAUAGACCUCAAAAAACUGAGGUGACAUUCAUCAAUUUGCUGAAAUCUGAAAAAAAAAAAAAAAAAAA